UAACAACUCACCUGCCGAA
rnacentral:ncRNA from 2 species